GAACCGUUCAACCAAAGCUUUUAAAAUUUUAAUAUGUUGUUACUGACAACUAAAUGAAGGUCAAGUUCAAUAAUGGCGAUUUUGACUUUUACCGUUCAGGAGUUAUGGUUCUUGAAAGAUUGAAAAAUGGAGUUUCCAGUCGUGUCCGUGCAUUUAUGCAUGAACUGUUCUACCAAAGCUUCCCAAAUUUUAAUAUGUUGUUACCGAUGACAAUAUGGAGGUCAAGUUCAAUAAUGACGAUUUUGACUUUUACCGUUCAGGAGUUAUGGUUCUUGAAAGAUUGAAAAAUGGAGUUUUCAGUCGUGUCCGUGCAUUUACGCAUGAACUGUUCUACCAAAGCUUCCCAAAUUUUAAUAUAUUGUUACUGAUGACAAAAUGGAGGUCAAGUUCAAUAAUGACGAUUUUGACUUUUACCGUUCAGGAGUUAUGGUUCUUGAAAGAUUGAAAAAUGGUGUUUCCAGUCGUGUCCAUGCAUUUUCUCAUAAACCAUUCAACCAAAGCUUUUGAAAUUUUUAUAUGUUGUUACUGAUGACAAAAUAGAGGUCAAGUUCAAUAAUGACGAUUUUGACUUUUACCGUUCAGGAGUUCUGGUUCUUGAAAGAUCGUAAAAUGGCGUUUCCAUUCACGUUGUUGCAUUUACUAAUGAACCAUUCAAUCUAAGCUUUUCAAAUUUUAAUAUGUUGAUACUGACUACAAAAUGGAGGUCAAAUUUGAUAUUGACGAUUUUCACUUUCAGCAUUCAUCAAUUAUGGUUCUUGUGAUAUUGCCAGGACACAAAUAAAUGUUAAUAAAUCCGGUUUGCUGUCGUUGUGACAGCCUCUUGUUAUAGU
rnacentral:lncRNA from 1 species